rnacentral:ncRNA from 1 species
UUAAAGUUUUAUUUUGGCUUUUAGAUUAAAUUAUAUUUUGUUUUUAUAUGUAAAUUUUAUUUAAAAAAUAAUUGGCAGUAUUUAAUUUUAAUUAUUUAAGAAAUUAAGAAUUAGUAAUAAUAUAUUAUAUAAACAAAAUUUGUGCCAGCAGUUGCGGUUAUUCAAAUUAUAUAAUUUAAUUAUUUUAAUAAUAAUUAAUUUGUAAGUAAAUUUUUAAUUUUAAAUUUAUUAAGUGAAAUUUUAAAUUUUUAAUAGAAUUUAUAUUAGUUAAUGAAUUAAAAAAUUUUUGUUUUAAACUAGGAUUAGAUACCCUAUUAUUAAAAUUGUAAUUUGUAUAUUAAAUUAGUAUUAGUUAUGGUCUUGAAAAUUAAAAAAUUUGGCAGUAUUUUAAUCUUUUCAGAGGAACCUGUUUUAUAAAUGAUAAUCCACGAUUUUAGUUACUUUUAUUCUUAGUUUAUAUAUCGUCGUUAUUAAGUAUUUUAGAAAAAUUUUAAUAUUUAAGAUUUUUUAUUAAAAAAUAUUUCAGAUCAAGGUGUAAUUUAUAUAGAAGUAAAAAUGGGUUACAAUAAAGUUAUUUUAAGAUUAUUAUUUUUACAAUAUUAUGAAUAUGGAUUUGAAAGUAAUUUAAAUUAAUUAAUUUAAAUGAUUUAGCUCUAAAAUAUGUACAUAUUGCCCGUCGCUUUCAUAUAAAAUGAAAUAAGUCGUAACAAAGUAGAUUUACUGGAAAGUGUAUCUAGAUUCAA